AUGAACGCUGGCGGCGUGCCUAAUACAUGCCAGUCGAGCGAACGGACGAGAAGCUUGCUUCUCUGAUGUUAGCGGCGGACGGGUGAGUAACACGUUGAUAACCUACCUAUAAGACUGGGAUAACUUCGGGAAACCGGAGCUAAUACCGGAUGAUAUUUUGAACCGCAUGGUUCAAAAGUGAAAGACGGUCUUGCUGUCACUUAUAGAUGGAUCCGCGCUGCAUUAGCUAGUUGGUAAGGUAACGGCUUACCAAGGCAACGAUGCAUAGCCGACCUGAGAGGGUGAUCGGCCACACUGGAACUGAGACACGGUCCAGACUCCUACGGGAGGCAGCAGUAGGGAAUCUUCCGCAAUGGGCGAAAGCCUGACGGAGCAACGCCGCGUGAGUGAUGAAGGUCUUCGGAUCGUAAAACUCUGUUAUUAGGGAAGAACAUAUGUGUAAGUAACUGUGCACAUCUUGACGGUACCUAAUCAGAAAGCCACGGCUAACUACGUG
rnacentral:rRNA from 1 species